rnacentral:rRNA from 1 species
CCAAAGCGGAGGAAAAGAAACCAACAGGGAUUGCCUCAGUAACGGCGAGUGAAGCGGCAAAAGCUCAAAUUUGAAACCCUCGGGAUUGUAAUUUGAAGAUUUGGCAUUGGAGAAAGCUAACCCAAGUUGCUUGGAAUAGUACGUCAUAGAGGGUGACAACCCCGUCUGGCUAACCGUUCUCCAUGUAUUGCCUUAUCAAAGAGUCGAGUUGUUUGGGAAUGCAGCUCAAAGUGGGUGGUAAACUCCAUCUAAAGCUAAAUACUGGUGAGAGACCGAUAGCGAACAAGUACUGUGAAGGAAAGGUGAAAAGAACUUUGAAAAGAGAGUGAAAUAGUAUGUGAAAUUGUUGAUAGGGAAGGAAAUGAGUGGAGAGUGGCCGAGGUUUCAGCCGCCCCUCGUGGGCGGUGUACUGCCGACGCCGAGUCAUCGAUAGCGAGACGAGGGUUACAAAUGGGAGCGCCUUCGGGCGUUCUCCCCUAACCCUCCACACUGCCACUGCAGUCAUACUCC